CCCGAACCAGCAGUGGCAACCCGCUUGGGUCCCCUUCCACGCUGUGCGAGCUUUGUUCUUUCGCUUUUUGCAAUAAAUCUUGCUACUGCUCACUCUUUGGGUCCACGCUGCUUUUAUGAGCUGUAACACUCACCGCGAAGGUCUGCAGCUUCACUCCUGAAGCCAGUGAGACCACGAGCCCACCGGAAGGAACGAACAACUCCAGACGCGCCACCUUAAGAGCUGUAACCCUCACCGCGAAGGUCCACGGCUUCAUUCCUGAGCCAGCGAGACCACGAACCCACCAGAAGGAAGAAACUCCAAACACAUCCGAACAUCAGAAGGAGAAAACUCCAGAUGCGCCACCUUAAGAGCUGUAACACUCACCGCGAGGGUCCGCAGCUUCAUUCUUGAAGUCAGUGAGACCAAGAACCCACCAAUUCUGGACACGCUACCUCGAUCCAGAUGAAGGUACCCCAAGCAGCUUGAGAUGUGAUGAUGGAGACCAGUUUGAGAAGACCCAUCAUCUCUGAUUUCCCUCUGAUUAUGAAGUAAUACAACAAAGCUACAAUGCGGAAAUCACUUAGAGAAGUUUAGACUGCUUGACUAAAGUCACACAGCUGGCAAAAAGAUUGGCCUUUCAGUUCAGCCUGGGCUUGAAAUAUCAAACACAUUGCCAUAUCAAACACAUUUCUGUGCCAGGAUUCCCCAGAAGGUUACACAGGUCCAUGAAUCAUUCACUGGCACUUGGUAAGGUAAUGAAGAAACAAAGACUCUCGCUUGGAAGCCAGAUCCCACAACAGUCAGCUUCUGUACUGGACUUGAUUGCUUUGACCACCUGUUGUUGCUGAUGAAGCACCACUGUCCCUGCUGCUGGUGUCACCUGUCCACUAAGGCAGAAAAGGGAGGUAUUUGAUGUAAUAAUCUCAUGGCAAAAUUUCCUGGCCUAAAAUGCCACAAUUCUAAAUUCAGGCACAUGACGCUGUAUGAUAUAUGUUAGAUCCACACAUUUCUGUCCUAGGGUGGUGUUGCAUUCAAUAAACCCAAAUGAAGCCUAACAUAUAGUUUAAAAUAAAGAAUAUUCAAAGCAUCCAAAUAAAUAAUCCACAUCAUCAUUUACAAAAAUACUCAUUCUGCUUCCACACAUUUUCCUUACUCUCUGUGGCU
rnacentral:lncRNA from 10 species